GUGAUUGAUCAAAAUAGAGAAUAAUUUCUGAUUUACCAUACAUGUUGCAUUUUUCAUUUAAUAUGGAACCCUGCUCAAACUUUCUUCUCAAACUUGCUGCAGCUACUUCAAAUUAACCACAAUCAUAUCCUGUGCAUAUAAGAGAAGAACAAAAACAUCAUGGUUUUUCCAUUUAUCGCACCUGUACAAAACCGGACGUUUUCAUAGAUCUAAACAGACUGCAGAAUCUAAAAGCCAUUAUUAUAAAGUGAUAUUACACUUACCAAAAUGCCAAAGUUUUGGAGGAAAAUAAAAACAGCCAGGAAUAAAUAUGAGUGGUAUCCUCUGGUGAAAGACAUGCAAGCCUCCAAUGCAGGAGAACAGGAAAGCACAGUCGACUCUGCGAUGCCAUCUGGAUCAGGUAUCGAAGUGAGUGGCGAGACAGGGCUUAAUAUUCUCAGAACAAUUCUGAGUAAACAAUCAAACCUUGAGGACGCAGACAUUGCAGCUGCAAUGCCGAAAAUCAGCUUCUCUCAAGAAUGGCACCAAAGUACUUUCAAGAAAUAGAUCAGUUUGUGGAGAACCACUUACCCUCGCUGCCACCAGAGGGAUCUCAAGUAAAGCAGAUGCAGGACUUUCUAAAGAGCGCACAGAGUAUUAUAUGCAAUGAGGUGCGCAGAUUAACACCUUUACUGAAAAAUGCUGGACUGCUAGUUCAUCUGAAGGACAGUUACAGCCGUCACCUCUUUACCAACCUGGACCUGCUACUAAACAGAGAUCUGUCUGUAAAACAGAUCUUCUGCCUUAUUAUGUGGGAAAAAGAUGUUUUCUUCAGUCCAGACUCAAAACUGAGUGUGUACGACCCUUCGCUGCUGACAGGAAGGUUUGAGAGAGCAAAGCAGAAACUGCUUCAAGUACUUCAGGUAGGACUUUAUGGUAUCCACCUUGUUUUUUAACAGCAUGGCCACUUAAAUGUGCGAGGCUUCCGCUGUCAUCCACUUCUAGUUAUUUUAGCUGUACAAAAUCAGUCUGUUCUGGUGCUUGAUAUUGCAAACUGCUAUUUGUUAUGGUGUAAUUUAAAUGUAUUAUCGUAAUAAUAAAUACACUGGUUUGUAGUGCAAAUAGUUUUACAAUUUCUGCACUUUACACUUAAAAAAAUGCUGGGUCAAAACAACCCAGUGCUGGGUGAAAUAUGGACAAGCCCAGCAAUUUGGUUGUUUUGACCCAGCAGUUUGGUUAAAUGUUUAACCCAACCUUCUGGGUAGUAACCCAACCGCUGGGUCAAAACAAUCCAGUUGCUGGGUUUGUCCAAUUUUACCCAGCACUGGGUUGCAUUUAACCCAGCAUUUUUUAGAGUAUAUACAAUAGCAAUUAAUGAAACGGAAGUCUUGUACAUUCACAGAAAAGAUUGCGUUGCAAAAAAAAGGUGGGUAUGACUUUCUGUUAUUUGAAUUCUUUGACUCUCAUUACUGACUAAUGCAUGAAAGGACCCAAAACAUGCACAUGAGGUGUAACACACUUGUAUCUCUGCCCAACUUAAACUGCCAAAGGAUGACAUCUCCAAGACUCUACAGAACAUCCUACACUAUGAUGAGAAACAUGGACAUAAUGAGGACUCAAUGGAUGAAGAAACUUUCAUCAGAGUUCACUUAGAUGUCACUCAGGUAGCUCUUAGAGAGAGAGAGAGAGAGAGAGAGAGAGAGAGAGACAGAAAGUGAAGAAAGACUUCAAGGUUUUAUUUUUAAUGCUCACUUAUUUCAUGUUUUUGCCUUCACAGUGCCUGAACUAUGCUAUUUUUGAUGCUAAAAAAGUUGGUCUGACUUUGAUGCAUGCAGUACAAAUACUCUGUAGUGGAGAGCUGCAUGGUUUUGUUCAGAAGUAGGAUUCUCCUCAUAUUAUUAUCUAGUAUCCUUAUAUUCAUUUAAGUGUAUGGUUGCUGGAGAGGGAAGGUUUGUAAUCCUGUACUUAAUAUAAAUAUGUUUUCUUAGGUAUGUGGAUGCUAAGAACAAACGUCUAUAAAAAACAAACGUUUACAGAGACAAACUCUGUGUAUCUGUUUCGGAUAAUCAACACCUGCAUGCAACUCAGGUAUUUAUUAAUGAUGAUUAAGUAAUGAACUAAUACAUGGCUGUUACAGAAACUGUAUCAGUGUAUAAUUAAAUCUGGACUAAUUGAAGAAUAAGACAUAUUUGUCACCCUUGAUUUAUUCAAGUGGCAGUAUAAUUGUGGAGAUAUUAAGAUGACUAAUAUUUGGCUGUCAUAUUUGACUAAAACAGUGGUUGCCUUUUUUCCAGGGCACCCUUAUUUUAACAGUCAACCUUUUUGAAUCAAUGAAUCAGUGACAUUAACAAUGAUGGCAGAAGAUUUUUAAAUGAAAAAAUAACGUUGGUUGAGUGAGUUUAACGAAAUUUCAACCAAGGGGGGCCUUUAAUUGGUCCGUGCCCAGGGCACCGCUGUGUCAUAAUCCGUCCCUGACUUACCGUCUGGAAUUUCAUCAUGGUUUGCUGCAACUGUUUCUAUUUAUAACCCUCAAACUGGAACGAGCUCAGCGACUCCUAGUGGUGUCACGACCCGGGGUUGGGAACCACUGGGGAAAAUCCUUGUGUAGAAUAAAACAGCUUUUCUAGGUCACUGUUAUAACUAGAGUCACUAUACGGUGAGUGUAUUAUUUUAAAAAUAUUUGUGCUAAGUUGUCCUUUUCCUAUCUGGAAUGAAAAUAUUUUACCUGUAGAUGUUGUGCUACACAAAUCAGUCCAAAUACAAACAGCAGAGAUGUCUCCUCAAGCACUAUAUGCAUGCUACAGAAACUGGAAGACAAUGCUUCAUCCAUUGUACGAAAGCUCAUGAAAUGCUUAGCACAGGUAGGCUAUGUUUUGAUUUCUUCAACAUCUGUGUUUAUGAUAAUCACUGAAAAAAAUGAUUCAUUGAAUUUACUAAAUUUUUUUAUGGUAAGUGGUUGCAGUCAAUUUAUUUUAUCUAUAUUUAAAUAAAUUUAGCUGAUUAACUUUCAGCAAAAAAAAAAUUAUUUAAAUGUAGCUAAAAUAAAUUGAUUGCAACCACUUACCAUAAAUUUUUUUUGUAAAUUCAAUUAAUCAUUUUUUUCAGUGAUGUGUUCAGAGGACAAGACCACAGUUGUGCAAGUGAAAUUAAGUAUUUGAGUCCACAGAAUUGUGAAAUCAAUACAAUCUUACUAGGAUUAUUUUAGCUGCAUCCAUUCAUAUCAGACUGUCUCUCUGGGCUACUGAUCUAAACAACAAGAAUACUGUAACCUUUCCUAACACAUUUAAUAUCAAACUUACAGUCCUGUUUCUCUUUGAAUGUUCAUUUGUAGGCCAAUUUAGAAGGUUAUUUUGAGAAAAGAGAUGGGCAUAUUGAUAUCCUGAUGGAGGCAAUCCAAAGGCAGUGUGCAUCUCUGCCUGAGACUGCUUCAGAGAUCAAAACGGUUUGCGCAGAGUAUGACCUUAAAACCAAUCAUAAAGAUUCUAGAUUCAUAUCUCACCCUCGGCCUCUCUUACAAUCUCUAGGUCAUUGUGAAAAUAGCUUACGACAGUGUUUCCAAAGUGUACCUGGAAUGCUUGAUGAAGACAAAUGUCAGAAAGCUAGAGAUGCUUUGGGGAAAUGCUGAGGAAAAGAUAAAAGAGGAUGUUCAACAUUUUCACCAAAUAUUCUCUGACCUGAAUGGCAUUGCUGCCCAGGAGAGCUCCUUCAGAGAAUGAGUGUUUUGCUUUACAGUCAUGUAAAAACGAAGGACGUUACCAAUGCUUUGUUCAAAGACUUCCCUCAGGAGAGUGAGCAGUAUGUACCUGGUCUGCUGCGCUGGAAGGGUGUGUUAUCAGAGCAACAGGUGAAGGAAGUGCUGGAUGAGAUUCGGGAACCCUGCCAAAAUCCAGAUCCUACACAUGUCACCUGUUUUCUUCUGAAGGGACUUUUUUGUUGUAAAUAGCUUGAGGUCAGAGGGGAACAGACAUCUGAAUACAGUUCACAGCAGUCCGGAGUUCCUGAUCUCAUCGCUCUAGAUGUUGAAGCGAGUAACAAGAGAGUGCUUAAUAUUCUCAGAAUGAUUCUGAGUGACCAAUCAACCCCUGAGGACUUUGACACUGCAGCUGAGGUGCUGAAAACAUGGAGCAAACUGAACAACAGCUUCUCUCAAGACUGGCUUUGUGAGUACCUUCAGGAAAUAGAUCAGUUUGUUGAGAAAAACUUUCCCUCGCUGCCAGCAGAGGGACCACAAGGAUCUCAGUUAGAGCAGAUGCAAGAAUUUCUAAACAGUGCACAGAGUGUUAUAUAUGAUGAGGUGUGUCGAUUAACACCUUUACUGAAAGAUGCUGGACUGCUAGUUCAUCUGAUGGACAGUUACAGCCAUCACCUCUUUACCAACCUGGACCUGCUCCUAAACAGAGAUCUUUCAGCGAAUGAAAUUUUCUGCCUUCUAAUGUGGGGAAAAAAUGUUUUCUUCAGUCCAGACUCACAGCAUUUCUUCAGAGUGUACGACCCUCUGCUGUUGACAGGUUGGUUUGAGAGAGCAACAAGGAAGCUGCUGCCAAAACUGGAGGAUGACAUCUCCACGACUCUACAGAACAUCCGACACUAUGAUGAGGAACAUGGACAUAAUGAGGACUCAAUGGAUGAAGAAACUUUCAUCAGAGUUCACUUAGAUGUCACCCAGUGUCUGAAUGCUGUUAUUAACAAUUCUAAAGAAUUUAGUAACACCCUGAUGUGUACAGCACAGACGCUCUGCCUUAAAGAGCUUCAUCAUUUUGUUCAGGAGUAUGCACAUGCACAGAAAAAAUGUCUGGGAAAACAGAAACCCCUGAACUCAAAAUAUGUGCAUCUGUUUCGGCUCAUCAGCACCAGUAGGCAACUCAGAUUUUUUGCUGAUCGACUCAACAAUCCGGAUAUUAACAACAGUAACGACCUCUCAAACAUCAUCUGCAUGUUAGAGGAGCUGGAAGAUCACGUUCUGUCAAUUGUACAGAAGAUGAUGAAACACUUAGCGCAGGGCUAUUUGAGAAAAUAUUUCAAAAAAGAAGGUGAGCAAAUUCAAAUGCUGACAGAGGGCAUUCAAAAGCGGUGUGCAUCUCUGCCUCAGGCUCAUGUGGGAAAAGAGAUUCAGGAGAUCUUUGUAAAUGUAGCCUAUGACUGCAUUUCACACGUAUAUCUGGAUUGCCUGAUGAAGAGCAAGUUCAAGCGGCUAGAGAAGAGAUGGGGAAAUGUCGGAGAAAGGAUGAGAGAGGAUGCUCUCAGUUUUCACAACACAUUUACUGAACUGAAUGGCAGUGAUGACCAGAGGUACCAUCUCCUUCAGAGAAUGAGUGAAGUUUUGCUCUGCAGUGAUGUAGAUGCACUGAAGAUUACCUGUUGUGAUUUGUUCAGGGAUUUCCCUCAAGACAGUGAGCAGUAUGUACCUGGUCUGCUGCGCUGGAAAGGUGUGUUAUCAGAGCGACAGGUGAAGGAAGUGCUGACUGUGAGCCGGGAUCUCGUUCUGGAUCUAAAGCCUAGACGUGUCACAUGUCAGCGUCUGAAGGGGCUUUGCUGUUGUCUUUGAUAUGAAUAGCAACAUCAGCCAGAUUUGUGAAACCUCUGUUUACAAGUUUAAAUUGAUGACAUGACUUUUGUGAACAUUAGUGAACAUUAGUUGUUUAUACAGGUACAUUUAUAUUUUAAUCAGAUACAAUAUUUUUGUACCUUUUAACCUUUUGAUUUUACUUGAAAAUAGGAAAUCAUGUUUCUAUCUGACCACCGGGAAAAAAAUGAAAUUACCCUUUUUGGUAUGUCUUUUCUAUGAUAGUAUAAUUAAUUAAGUUUAAAAAAUUAAGUAAAAUUUAAAUAUGGAAUUACCUAAAGUUGACUUAAGUUAUGUGAAAUUCGCAAAGGAAAUAAGUCAAUUUAACAUAGCUAUUUAGAGUUUGAUGAGUAAUUUCUUCUUAAUUAUUGCAAUACUCAAGUACUUUUCACUCAAUCAUAGUUUGUAAACUUCAUUCAAACAAUGUAGCACUGAAAAAAAAGAACUAUGCUAUUAAAGCAUGUGGUUCAUUUACAAACAUGUAAGCAAGCAAACCGCUUUUUAUCCUUUUUAAGAUGAUAUGUUUACACAAUAUAGUUUUUACCCAAAUGAGCAACAGUUACUAAAUCUAACAACAAAAGCAACAAGAAAACAGUGUAAAUAGAACUCGAAAACAUAAUUACUUAUUCCCCAGUGCAUGAAUCUUUGUAAACAUAACAAACAAUUCCAAGUAAAAUAUACUUAUAAGUUCAAACUUUAAUUUCUACAAGUUUAAAUUGGAUACUAAUAUAGAACUUACUCUUUUUUAAUUCUUGCCUGAACUAAACAUUUGUUUUUCCGUAGUAUUUACUAUUCAUUUUUAUCAGUGAGGAUGGUAACCACAUGUCCAUUUAUUUCUUAAAUUAUUGUUAAAUUAUUGUUGUAAUAUUUAAUAUUUAUAUUGGUUGUAUUUUCUUUUAUUUAUUCUUAUUUGAAAAUAGGACACAGUAUUUCUUUUAUGUAAGAUUAUUUUAUCAUACAAGAGUCAGUGGUACUAUAACAAGUAACUUUAAAAGUAUAACAAGUGACUUUGGUACCUCAAUAAAGACAUAAAUGACAUUU
ensembl:lncRNA